AAAGUAAAAAUUUUAAAGUAAAUAAUUAAAAAAUUGCAAAGGAAGGCAAAGCAGGUGGUUCUGCCUGGUCGGGGGUCCCGGAAGGUGUCUGAGAGUUACAGCGAGGACCUCUGGUCGGGGGUCCCGGAAGGUGUCUGAGAGUUACAGCGAGGACCUCUGGUCGGGGGUCCCGGAAGGUGUCUGAGGACGGUUGCGUUUCCCCGCUCAGAAGUUGAGGAAGCAUCAUGAGAAGUGAACUGAAGAAGUGAGAUGGCAUUGGAAACACUGCUCAGGAGCUCUGUAUUAUUUCAGCCCCAGAAGGAGCGUGGGAGUAAACCAAUGGCAGGAAACGGAUGGAUGUAUAAAAUGCGUCGCGUCUUGCAUUCUGGCACCGAUAGAGAAUAUAAAAACGUAAAAGAGACAGCAACACAGCACAGAGGUUUGCGACCACAGUCUGAGGGCUGUGCCAGGGGAGGAUGGCGUCACUUCCAUGUCAUGGAAGCAUAAUUCCUGCUGGUCUCUUCUCCUGCCUGACCAUUAUGCAAACGAGUUGCAUCCAGCCCUUCAGGCAGCAGUGGCCUCCUCGCUUUCCUGAGGGCUAUUGUCAGAUUGGCUGACACUGGCUUUUCUCUCCCAUGUGUCCCCCCAGGAGCUGAGUCAGUCCACACCAGCCCAUAGCACCCUCUGAGCGGCUUGAAUGUUCACACAAGCAGUUGGCGGCAAAAGAAUUUUGUCCCUGUGUUUUCCUGUAAUCUUUUGACCCUUCCUUGUUUUCAAGCCAGAAUGUGGGCAUCUAUCGACUCAGAGAAUAAACAUGUGUCUUUCUGAGUCAAGCUCAAAUGGAUCAAACCUGCAGGUAAUAAAGUGUUCUCAAGCAAAGUUAAUGGUUUCAUCGAACACACCAUUAUCCGGGAACAAGAUUUCCCACCACAGAGGGUCCGUUGGUGGAUCAAGAGCAGCAGGCUGUGCUGACUGUUACCGAGGACAUCCAGAACAUCGGCUGCCAGUUUGUUUCGGAUGAGGACAACAGAAACCUCGGUGACCAGGGUGACUGUCCCUGGUCGCAGGCAGAGCCUGAGGAGGCUUCGAGAUGCCCGAAGUAGCUAG